GUAGGGAAUAUUGGACAAUGGGGGGAACCCUGAUCCAGCCAUGCCGCGUGUGUGAAGAAGGCCUUUUGGUUGUAAAGCACUUUAAGCGAGGAGGAGGCUACCGAGAUUAAUACUCUUGGAUAGUGGACGUUACUCGCAGAAUAAGCACCGGCUAACUCUGUGCCAGCAGCCGCGGUAAUACAGAGGGUGCAAGCGUUAAUCGGAUUUACUGGGCGUAAAGCGCGCGUAGGUGGCCAAUUAAGUCAAAUGUGAAAUCCCCGAGCUUAACUUGGGAAUUGCAUUCGAUACUGGUUGGCUAGAGUAUGGGAGAGGAUGGUAGAAUUCCAGGUGUAGCGGUGAAAUGCGUAGAGAUCUGGAGGAAUACCGAUGGCGAAGGCAGCCAUCUGGCCUAAUACUGACACUGAGGUGCGAAAGCAUGGGGAGCAAACAGGAUUAGAUACCCGUGUAGUCC
rnacentral:rRNA from 1 species